rnacentral:rRNA from 1 species
CCAAGGAGUCUAACAUGUGCGCGAGUCGUCGGGUCUUGAAUAGGCCCGCAGGCGUAAUGAAAGUGAAGGGCGACCUCGGCGUCGCCUGCGUUGGGAUCCCCGAUUCCUCGGGUCCGGGGCGCACCAACGGCCCGUCCCAUCCGCCUCGUCGGCGGGACGGAGCGAGAGCGUACACGUUGGGACCCGAAAGAUGGUGAACUAUGCCUGGGCAGGACGAGGCCAGAGGAAACUCUGGUGGAGGUCCGCAGCGAUUCUGACGUGCAAAUCGAUCGUCAGACCUGGGUAUAGGGGCGAAAGACUAAUCGAACCAUC